CCAGACGACGCGAAACGGACAUCGGCGAAACCGCCGGGUACUUCGAUGCGUUUGGUGGCCGACGGCAUAUAAGACCUGCCGACAGUCGUACAAUUUGCAUCAGUAGUGGUUACAACUUAACCAUUACAUUACCAUAUGAUGAAGCAACGUAAUGAAAAUCUUUAAUGAUUACUCGUGUUGCGCCAAUGGGAACUUCUCCAGAGGAUCCCAUUGGAAUUCUGAUGCCCCUCUAAAACUACUGAUGCCUAAUAAUUUUAAUUUAUCAAUGUGAUCCGAUUUUUCCCUCUUUAAUUUUACGCUUAACGUUGCACUGAAUUCAACUCUCUUAUUUACUACACACCGAGCGUGUACAUUUUACAUCACUCC